rnacentral:rRNA from 1 species
GUGCCAGCAGCCGCGGUAAUACGGAGGGUGCUAGCGUUGUUCGGAAUCACUGGGCGUAAAGCGCGUGUAGGCGGUCCGCUAAGUCUGGUGUGAAAGCCCGGGGCUCACCCCCGGAAGGGCACUGGAAACUGACGGACUAGAGUCCCGGAGAGGAGGGUGGAAUUCCUGGUGUAGCGGUGAAAUGCGUAGAUAUCAGGAGGAACACCGGUGGCGAAGGCGGCCCUCUGGACGGUGACUGACGCUGAGACGCGAAAGCGUGGGGAGCAAACAGGAUUAGAUACCCGAGUAGUCC